GAUUAACGCUAGCGGCAGGCCUAAUACAUGCAAGUUGUACGGGAUUAUUGGUAGCAAUACUGAUAUGAGAGUAGCGCACGGGUGCGUAACACGUAUGCAACCUACCUUUAACUGGGGAAUAGCUCACCGAAAGGUGAAUUAACACCGCAUAAAAUCACAGAAGGACAUCCUUUAAUGAUUAAAUCUCCGGAGGUUAAAGAUGGGCAUGCGUCCGAUUAGCUAGUUGGCGGGGAACAGCCCACCAAGGCAACGAUCGGUAGGGGGUCUGAGAGGAUGAUCCCCCACACUGGUACUGAGACACGGACCAGACUCCUACGGGAGGCAGCAGUAAGGAAUAUUGGACAAUGGGGGCGAACCCUGAUCCAGCCAUGCCGCCGUGAAGGA
rnacentral:rRNA from 1 species